GAAAAAAAAAAAAGAAAAAGGAAAAGGAACCCAUUUGACGAUACUCACCGACCCUUCUCUGUCUUUCCCUCGCGGAUGCAAUAAUAAAUCGCCAUCGUUAUCCCCUUCCUAUUUUAUUGUUAAGAAAAACAAGUGUAGUUAUGGAAGGGAAUGAAAGCGGCGGUGGUAUUCAAGAGGCUCCCAUAGUUGACGAUCCUAAUCAAUUUGGAGACAACUCCACAGAAGGUGCCGUGUUUGACGCCUCUCAAUAUGCAUUCUUUGGUAAAGAUCUUGUUGAGGAUGUCGAGUUAGGGGGAUUGGAGGAUGAAGUGGAGGACUUGCCUGCAACUGAGUUUGAUGAGGAAGAGUUUCUCUUUGGUAGACAAGAGGUUACACUUUCUUUUCUUUUUGUGUAUUUUCUUUUUUAUUUCCAUUGAUUCAGAAAUUUCACCAAAAAAUAGGUUUAUGUUGUUUAGAGUUAGUUAUGAGUGUAAGUACUCUGGAUUUGUUAAAGGAAUUCAAAAAACAGAGAUACAUCAUACAUUAUUAUGUAGGUACUCAAGUUUGCCAAUUGCUCUAUAUUUGGUUAUUUGUAAGGUUUGUCAAACCUCACAUCUAUUCCUCCUAUGCAAGAAUUUUAAGUACAUGCUCCUGGAAGAAGUUGAUUGUUACAUGUUUUUUUAUACCAUCCUAGUGUAAUUCUAUGAGCUCCUCCUUGUCAGUUUUGCAGGUCAUUUUUUUGAGUUCAGAUAGUAUUGUUCUUUGAUUGUAAGAUCUUGUUUGAUAUGUAACAUUUAUUGUUUAAACUGUAAAUUCUGAAUGAUGAUAUUCAAGCAGUAGGAAUUUCCAGCAAGGCAGCAACUAACUGUUUUCCCCCCCUCUUAUUUGUAGGGUGAGGUUGUAAGAUCUCUUUCUGAUAUUGAUGAUCUUGCUAGUACAUUUUCAAAGUUGAACAAGGUUGUCAGUGGACCAAGGGGAGCAGGAGUAAUUGGUGAUAGGGGAUCCAGAGAAAGUUCAUCUGCUGCUGAAUGGGCCCAGGGGGAGGAUUUUCCCAACUGGUUGGAUCAACAGCAGCUACUUGAUCCUGAAGGUAUCCAGGACGGAAAAAGAUGGUCCUCGCAGCCUUAUGCUUCUUCUGCUCGCCUUUUGGAAUUAAAGCCUUUGUACAGAACAUCUUCAUACCCUGAGCAGCAGCAACAGCACCAUCAACACUUCUCCAGUGAGCCAAUUCUUGUGGCUAAGUCUUCUUACACUUCGUACCCUCCCCCUGGUGGACAAUCUCCACAGGCUUCGCCGAAUCAUAGUCAUCUAAAUAUUCCAUAUCUUGGUGGUGGUCCCCAAAUGGCAAUUUCUUUACCAAACCUCUCCCCCUUUUCUAGUCCUCAGCUUCAGUUGACAGGCUUACAUCAUGGGUCACCACAUUUUGGUGGAAAUUUGUCACAGUUUUCUUCUGGUCCAUCUGCAAAUAGCCGGCUACCUAACCAAUGGGUUAACCAUACAGGUUUGUAUCCGGGAGAUCAUCCCAACCGUUUGUUGCAGCAACAACUAUCUCAUCAAAAUGGUUUAAUGCCUCCACAGUUGAUGCCACAAAUGCAGCCACAGCAGCAUAGACUGCAUCAUCCAAUUCAGCCAUCAUUAGGCCACUUAUCUGGAAUGCAGUCUCAAAUAUUUACACCUCAUCUUUCUUCAUCUGCACCCAUGAUGAGCAAGUUUGAAGCAGUGCUUCUGGGUGAUAUUAGAGAUCAGAGACCAAAAUCAGCUCAGAAAGGUAGACAAAAUUUGCGUUAUUCUCAACAGGGAUUUGAUACUAAUGGCCAGAAGAUUGACAGUGUCUGGUCUCAGUUCAGAUCCAAGUACAUGUCAUCUGAUGAAAUUGAGAGUAUUCUCAGAAUGCAGCUUGCUGCGACACACAGUAAUGACCCAUAUGUGGAUGAUUAUUAUCACCAGGCUUGUCUUGCAAAAAAGUCAGCUGGGGCAAAACUCAAGCAUCAUUUCUGCCCGACUCACUUGAGGGAUCUUCCCCCUCGAGCACGGGCUAACACAGAGCCUCAUGCUUUUCUCCAGGUUGAUGCGCUUGGAAGGACGCCCUUUUCUUCAAUUCGCAGACCUCGUCCACUUCUUGAGGUUGACCCUCCAAACUCAUCUAUUAGUGGUGGAACUGAUCAGAAAGUUUCUGAGAAACCCCUAGAACAGGAGCCAAUGCUUGCAGCUAGAGUGACAAUUGAAGAUGGUCUUUGCCUCCUCCUGGAUGUAGAUGAUAUUGACCGUUUUCUAGAAUUUAAUCAACUUCAAGAUGGAGGAGUCCAAUUGAGACGCAGGAGGCAGGCCUUGUUGGAAGGGCUUGCGGCAUCCCUGCAAUUGGUUGACCCACUCGGAAAGAAUGGACAUACUGUGGGACUUGCUCCAAAAGAUGAUCUUGUGUUCUUACGAUUAGCUUCUCUUCCCAAGGGCCGGAAGCUGCUUGACAGGUACCUUCAGCUUCUUUCUUCCGGUAAUGACCUCAUGCGAAUUGUCUGCAUGGCUAUUUUUCGUCAUCUGAGGUUUUUGUUUGGAGGUAUCCCAUCUGAUCUUGGAGCAGCAGAGACUACAAAUAACCUUGCAAGAGUUGUAUCAUUAUGUGCCCGCCACAUGGAUCUUGGUUCCCUUAGUGCUUGUCUUGCAGCAGUUGUUUGUUCCUCAGAGCAGCCUCCACUUCGCCCCCUUGGAAGCUCUGCUGGAAAUGGGGCUUCUCUCAUUUUAUUGUCUGUUCUUGAGAGGGCAACUGAAUUAUUGAAUGAGCUUCAAGAUGCUAGCAACUAUAAUGUUACAAAUCGGGCACUUUGGAAGGCCUCGUUUGAUGAGUUUUUUGGCCUACUUAUAAAGUACUGCAUAAAUAAAUAUGAUAGUAUUAUGCAGUCUUCUUUACAAGAUCCAGCUGAAGCUAUUAAGAGGGAACUACCGAUGGAGAUCCUUCGAGCCAGUGUUCCCCACACAGAUGACUACCAGAAAAAGAUGAUGUAUGAUCUUUCCCAGUGUUCCUUAGUUAGUCAAGAUGGUUGUCGCAUGAAUUCUGAAUCAGUGUUGAGUUGAUACUGUGUUGCAUGAAAAUAUGAUAGAAAUUGAAAAGCUGUGUCCUGAAUUGCCAAGUUACUGAAAGACUGAAUGUGAAAGAUACUGUUGGACCAGCAAUGUUAUGGGGUAUUUGUUUACUUGCGCCUUUACACUAUGGCUAAUUAGGAAUACGUGGAGUAAAUGAAGCAGAAGCUUUGGAGCAACCUACUGCAAAGUCAUUUUAGUUCUUUCAGAUUUUAGUAUAUUUUAGUCAUUUUCACUCUAUUCUGUGCAACUUUCUUGGCCAAACCUGUAACCGGGCUGUGUUGUAUUGUGGUAGCAAUCUGUUGGGUUUUUCCAUUUCUUUGGGUAUUUUCAUUCCUCUUAUUUUAGGGGCCUAUUUGAUGCUCUGUUGUGGAAUUCUCAAUAUGGAGGCAUAGGGUGUACAGGGUUCGGUACAUAGAUUCCCAACUUCUCCUCUAAUAUUUGUUAUCCAGGAGAUGGUGGAUGUUACGUUCUUGUUUUUCUGUUACGAAGCUUAUGGGCUAUGGCCUAUGUGCCAUAGUACCUUGUUAAUUGGUAAUAAAGCUAUGCUAAUGCUGGUGGUUUGUAGUUUCUCGUAUGGAAUACUGUUGAGUUUGAAUUCUCAAGUAAUCAGCAGUAUGCUGUUCGUGUGCUUUCUGUAGACUUAUAUAACACUCUCAUCUUCGUUCCCUAA
rnacentral:misc_RNA from 1 species